UUUUUUGUAAUUUCUUUUAAAGUGCAUGGAUAAUUUUAUGAAAUCAUCCCUCUCUCUUGUGUUUGUGCGCCUCUUCUCCCUCCUCACCUCACUGAUCUUCUUCUUAUCUUGCUCUGUAAUAUACCUUACGACGACCCAGUAUCACCGGAGAAGGAGGCAUGGUGGUUGAGAUCCGAGUGGAAGAAGCACGGUGGUGGUUGUGUAAGUUGGUCGGAGAAGAAGGAUGUAGUGGUGGUGGUGGUGAGAAAAACGUUGGUGAUGGCUAAGGAUGGUGAGAUCGGAGAGCCAUGGUGGUAUGUGAACAGCGACGCGGGAUCUGAGAAGAAGACUAAGGGAUGGCAGUGGUUCUUAUGUGAACGGAGAUUGGAGUGGAUAUGAGGAGAGGGAUGGUGGUGGUGAUGUUGUGAUGGAAGAAGGCUGAGAGGUGGUGGUGGUGUUGGUGCAAACUG
rnacentral:lncRNA from 1 species